CAGUAGCCGCGGUAAUACGAGGGGGGCAAGCGUUGUUCGGAAUUAUUGGGCGUAAAGGGCGCGUAGGCGGUUUGGCAAGUUUGGUGUGAAAUCUUCGGGCUCAACUCGAAGUCUGCACCGAAAACUGCCGGGCUUGAGUAUGGGAGAGGUGAGUGGAAUUUCCGGUGUAGCGGUGAAAUGCGUAGAUAUCGGAAGGAACACCUGUGGCGAAAGCGGCUCACUGGACCAUUACUGACGCUGAGGCGCGAAAGCUAGGGGAGCAAACAGGAUUAGAUACCCGUGUAGUCCCUGUCUCUUAUAA
rnacentral:rRNA from 1 species